CAAAACGAAACAAAAAAAAAAUUAAAAAAGCAGCUGCCAGCACGUUAUUCAUCAGGGAGGUAAGAGCGAGUUCUGAAGAGCCACUUUUCCCAGCCACCUUCUGUCCCCACCCCUCUCGGCUGCAACACAGGGCAGGGCUCCUUGGGGACUGGAGACCUUCGGGGUAAGAACCGUGGGGCCACAGUCCUCGGGGAAGGUUGUGGGGGUGCGUCUGUUUCCGAUGCCGGCGGUGGCAAGCCAGGAGCUUGGCCCCUCCCGGCUCACACAGGAGAUGAUGCAAGGCCAGGGUCACAUGGCACCCCCCAUCCACGGGGAAGGGCCGCCCUCUGGUGGCCAGAUCCGGCAUUGCUGGCUCCCUGCUUCUCGCCAGUUUCUACGCCACCCGUGUCCACCCACAGGAGCCUGGGGACGAAGAGGCCUGGCUAGCCCGUCACAGGUUAUGACAGAAGUUUUUCAUUCUUUUCUAAGUUUUUGUUGGACUAUACUUCACUUACCACGUUGUGUGAGUUUCAGGUGUACAGCAAAGGGAUUCCACACUGAGUGGAGCAGAGCCUGGUUGAUCAGCUGUGGUCAGCAUUAUGAAGCAGAUACUCAGUGAACACUCACCGUGUGCCUGUGGGGGAGGCUGGUUUCCCUGCUGCGGCCCCUGCUGUCCAGCCACAAGUUUCCUGGUCUUUAUCAAGGACUCUCAACGGUGUCCCAGGAAGCUUUUCCCUCUCCCUGUGAAUCACCUUCCUCCUCCUCCUCCAAGUCCCAAGUCCCACCACCCUCACCGGCUCUUGUGGCUUUAGCUGAAAAUGGUGUUUACGGUGAGGGUUUUGGCCACGUGGGUGAGUCACUCAGCUCUUCCGGUCUCUAUUCACCUUGAUUAGUUUUGUCCUGUUAAUCGGUCCCCUGCCAGUGUAAUCACAGCCCAGCUGCUCCAAGGGGAGAGGACAGUUUCCUGAAGCCCCGAAGCCUUUUGUGUUGCCAAUACUCUGCCUCUGGGGCAUCCUGGUCACCUGUGGAGGUGUUUCCUGGUUGGCUUUUUAUUUUUUCCUCCUUUUUUACAGCCACAGCCACAGCCACAACGGAUCACCAUCUGAGACCUUCACCAUCUGGGACCUACACCGCUGCUUGCAGCAAUGCUGGAUCCUCAACCCACAGGGUGAGGCCAGGGAUCGAACCCGCAACCUCCUGGAGACAAUGCUGGGGACUUAGCCUGCUGAGCCACAGCCGGAGCUCCCAUCUCCUGGUAAUAAAGAGGAAAGGAGAACAGCCAGAACGAAGGCGCCCCAGCCCUCGUGAGCCGAGCAGGAGAAAAUUUUGCUUUUCAGUUACCAUGGAGACCGGAUGUACCCGUUCCCCUGAGCCGCCUGGAAUACUGGACAAAAACACACAAAACAAGGGUUCCGAUGUCGCCUCCCUCCUUCCCUCAUCCCAUCCCUGUGCCUCCCUUCACUCCGUGAAGCCUUUGAAGAAUGGCAUCCUGUUCGUCUCGUUAGAACGAAACCUCCUCGAAGCUGGUGGCUGGGUCUUGUUCUGUGUCUCAUGCGGCCCGGUACACGUUCGUUCCCAGGUGGUAUCCAGUGAAUGCUGUUAAGUGAAACGGUCAUCAGCCAGUUCAAAACCAGGACCUCUCUUUUCAGCACAGAGAAUCUCUCUUGCUCUCUCUUUUUCUUUUUUUGCUUUUUAGGGCCGCAAUCACAGCACACGGAGGUUCCUAGGCUAGGGGUCUGAUCGAAGCUACAGCUCCCAGCCUACGCCACAGCCACAGCCAUG